rnacentral:rRNA from 1 species
GAGUUUGAUCAUGGCUCAGGAUGAACGCUGGCGGCGUGCUUAACACAUGCAAGUCGAACGGACUGAUAUGAUUGAAGCCUUCGGGUGGAUUUCAUUGACGUUAGUGGCGGACGGGUGAGUAACACGUGGAUAAUCUACCUUAAAGACUGGGACAACAGUUGGAAACGACUGCUAAUACCGGAUGUUCUAAGUUUGUGGCAUCACGAGCUUAGUAAAGGAGGCCUCUUAACAAUGCUCCCGCUUUAAGAUGAGUCCACGUCUGAUUAGCUAGUUGGUGGGGUAACGGCCUACCAAGGCGACGAUCAGUAGCCGGCCUGAGAGGGUGACCGGCCACAUUGGGACUGAGACACGGCCCAAACUCCUACGGGAGGCAGCAGUGGGGAAUCUUCCGCAAUGGGCGCAAGCCUGACGGAGCAACGCCGCGUGAAUGAUGAAGGCCUUCGGGUUGUAAAAUUCUGUUGGCAGGGACGAAUAAGCAAGGCGAAUAGUCUUGUGUAUGACGGUACCUGCUAAGAAAGCUCCGGCUAACUACGUGCCAGCAGCCGCGGUAAUACGUAGGGAGCGAGCGUUAUCCGGAAUUACUGGGCGUAAAGGGCGCGUAGGCGGGUAUUUAAGUCAGAUGUGAAAACUCCGGGCUCAACUUGGAGACUGCAUUUGAAACUGGAUAUCUUGAGGGCAGGAGAGGAAAGUGGAAUUCCUAGUGUAGCGGUGAAAUGCGUAGAUAUUAGGAGGAACACCAGUGGCGAAGGCGACUUUCUGGACUGUACCUGACGCUGAGGCGCGAAAGCGUGGGGAGCAAACGGGAUUAGAUACCCCGGCUAGUCCACGCUGUAAACGAUGAAUACUAGGUGUAGGAGGUAUCGACCCCUUCUGUGCCGCAGCUAACGCAAUAAGUAUUCCGCCUGGGGACUACGGUCGCAAGACUAAAACUCAAAGGAAUUGACGGGGACCCGCACAAGCGGUGGAGUAUGUGGUUUAAUUCGACGCAACGCGAAGAACCUUACCAGGGCUUGACAUCCCUUGCUAUUCAUGGAAACAUGAAGUUUUAUCCUUCGGGAUAGACAAGGUGACAGGUGGUGCAUGGUUGUCGUCAGCUCGUGUCGUGAGAUGUUGGGUUAAGUCCCGCAACGAGCGCAACCCCUAUUUCUAGUUGCCAGCACGUAAUGGUGGGAACUCUAGAGAAACUGCCGGUGACAAACCGGAGGAAGGUGGGGAUGACGUCAAAUCAUCAUGCCCUUUAUGUCCUGGGCUACACACGUACUACAAUGGUCGGUACAGAGGGUUGCGAAGCCGCGAGGUGGAGCUAAUCCCAGAAAGCCGGUCUCAGUUCGGAUUGUAGGCUGCAACCCGCCUACAUGAAGUCGGAAUCGCUAGUAAUCGCAGGUCAGCAUACUGCGGUGAAUACGUUCCCGGGUCUUGUACACACCGCCCGUCACACCACGGGAGUUGGUAACACCCGAAGUCGAUGAGCUAACCGUAAGGAGGCAGUCGCCUAAGGUGGGAUUGAUAACUGGGGUGAAGUCGUAACAAGGUAGCCGUA